rnacentral:lncRNA from 1 species
AUUUAAACAUAUCAUUCCGAUUUAAACAAUUAACUUUAUUUAGAAUUUAAAUUAAUUUAAGUCUAUUCAUAUUUUAAACAAAAAAAAGUAAAUGCUACCUAAGUCACUGAGCACAACAAUUUGAUCGCAAGAAUACAAGACAAACGGCAGUGAUGGUGCUUUAUGAUUUUGGUGAUCUGUACCCAGAUCGCGGUAUGUGUUGGUCAGAGACUAGGAAUAAGCAGUAAGGGAUGGAUUGAAAUGCAGAGUGUAGAAAGACGCGCGGCUGACGGUGGUAAAAGAAUGGUGGCUGCGCAUUCUUGUUGGGAUUAGGGUUUGCUUUUUGUUCAAUAUUUUAAAAGAACCGUAAGCCACAAAAUCCAGGAGAAAAGACUAAAUUCCCCCUUCACAAUGACACUGNNNNNNNNNNNNNNNNNNNNNNNNNNNNNNNNNNNNNNNNNNNNNNNNNNNNNNNNNNNNNNNNNNNNNNNNNNNNNNNNNNNNNNNNNNNNNNNNNNNNGACAGUAAUUCCAUAUACGGAAUAGUUGACUAAUUGGCUUAACCAAAUUGAUCCGUCAACAAUCAUAUUUUAAAAUCUGCCCCAACAAAGUCAUAUUUACAUAAGAGUAGUUUAUGUUCAAUGGCCAAUAUCGCUUUUGAUUGUUAAAACUAAAUAUUAACAAAUCAAAUUGAAGUGUGGAACACAUGCAAGGAAUUAAUGAAUUAGACAAGACAAAUCACCACAUAUGUUCUCCUUUUAAAAUGCCAAAAUUAGGUGCAUGAUUACUGGCAAUAAUCUAUGACGGUUUGGUUCCAACCACGCUCAAUCUUCUUUCACUUUUAGAAAAUAGUCCAAACGUGUGUGCAAAGUUUUGAUUUUUUUAAGAUACAUUCAAUUGAAAACGAAUGUUUGACCUGGAAACGCACGUGUUUUGUCUAAAAGAAGAGGCUGAGCUGGCUUUGAAGAAAGAAGACUUGAAUUAGUAAACUCUUACUAUCACGUGUUUCAUAUUUAUUUAUAAAUGAUGUCAAGUUGAACUAUCAGCAGUAUCAUGCUUAGUGGUUGACUGGCUGUUAGAUUAAUUAGAGAUUUAUCUGUUGGGAUUAAUAAAAUAUUUGAGAUAUUUUCAAUUGCAUAAAUAUUUUGAAUAAGGUCUGUUUAAUCAUAUUAUAUGUAUUUAUGUGAUCAUCAUAUGGAUUCACAAAAAACAUAAAUACAAGUUAUCUUAUGAUUAAAUAAAUUAAGUUCGCAGUUGAUAAAUAGAGUUGGACGCUCUAUUUAUGUUUAGACUGUAGUAAAUUCAUUAAAUGAUUUUUCUUAAUCAUGUAUGUAUUUACUGAUAUAGUUUGACUACAUUGAGCUGGAUCACAUAUGAGAUUUAAUUAACCUUGAAAUGACUGUCAGACUUAUUAAAUCUCAUAGGCAUUGAUUUUACUGUAAUAUUAAUCUUGAGUUAAUUAUGAUUUCAUGAUUGUAAUUGUUAUUCCAUUUGAGUUACCAAUGGGCACGACACAUACUUGUAAUCAAGAAUUUGUACAACACAUCUCUUGAUGGGUUUUCGGCACUUGAUCAUAGAAUUCUUUGGCCAGAGUGUGUCAACAUAUUUAGUAUAUUAAAAAUGAUCAUUAAAGAAAAUCAGUAAGAAUCAAGGAACAAUUUGUAAUUAAAUUGAUUGGACAGUUGAGAUAUCGAUUUAAUUAAUGAUGUGGUACAAAGGAUUGUGCAAUAAAGAAAUCAAUGUGGCUUGGGACGAAUUAUUAUUCGAGCAUACAAUUAUGGAGGUCAGUUCCAAUCUUUUAGUAGAGUAGAUUUAGAAUUAAAUAAUUGGGGUAGUUUAAUUACAGGCUUAAUUAUUGCAGCCGCUAUUGUGUGUUCCCAAAUGAUCCUCGGGUUAGCUCAUUUAAUUGACUGCACCACUACUGAAUUAAUAAGCAAGAUAACUAGCUAUUUGGGUCAAAAGCCUAAAUGUAUUAUUUAGUGGGAGACUCCAUUAAUAUGCUUGAGUGUAAGGGGUCUUGUGUUAUUUUACAAGGUGGGCCCCUAUAACACAAGAAUAAGUAACGUAACUUUUGUUUUAAUUAUUUUUUAAUUUAAA